GAGUUUGAUCGUGGCUCAGAUUGAACGCUGGCGGAAUGCUUUACACAUGCAAGUCGAGCGGCAGCGCGGGGCAACCUGGCGGCGAGCGGCGAACGGGUGAGUAAUGCAUCGGAACAUGUCCAUGUCGUGGGGGAUAGCCCGGCGAAAGCCGGAUUAAUACCGCAUAUGCCCGAGAGGGGAAAGUGGGGGACCGCAAGGCCUCACGCGAUUGGGUUGGCCGAUGUCCGAUUAGCUAGUUGGCGGGGUAAGAGCCACCAAGGCGAUGAUCGGUAGCUGGUCUGAGAGGAUGAUCAGCCACACUGGGACUGAGACACGGCCCAGACUCCUACGGGAGGCAGCAGUGGGGAAUUUUGGACAAUGGGGAAACCCUGAUCCAGCCAUUCCGCGUGAGUGAAGAAGGCC
rnacentral:rRNA from 1 species